ensembl:lncRNA
UGGAAAUGUACAAUGGUAAAGGAACUAUUAAUAUGUUUUAAAUAUUAACUUAAGAAUAAAAUCAACAUUUGCUCUUGUUUUGACCAGAAGUCUGUCAGUGUCUUUUGUGAUUUAGUCACUAUAACUGGUUUCAAAGUACUGUAUAUAAAAAAAGAUCCCAACAAUAAAGUGCUAUGAUUUCUUAAAAUGCAAAGACAAAAUUCACCACAAACCGUAAUAAAAACAAAAUGGAAGAACCAAUAAAUACACAACAGAAUGGAAAAACCAGGACAAAAACAACAAACAUCACAGAUUGACUCUUUAAAUGGAAAUAUGCUAUUGUUAAUCCUAAUAUUAGCAGGAUUACUGACAUCUUCAGACCGAACAGAGCAAAUACAGUCGCAAACCCCACUGAGAGUGUCACUCCAGCUGAACAAAACAAGAAAAAAAUAAGUACAAAGAAUAAAACUAACUGCAAAGGUGUCUGAACAUACCUUUGAUCCGGUACAGUGAAAUGAAGGGUUAAUAAAUAAGCCCCAAAUGUGAUCCCAGGGGCAGCACGGCAAGCUAUGAGCACAUCUGACCACGUCUGUACGCUGACCGCUGUUCCUACAGUCAGUCCUAGACCUAAUAUAAACACUGUACUAGAAUAUGAAAGUAAAAUCACUAAAGCUUUUAAUAUUUUAUGUUCAUGCAAUAAAUUUGCUAAGUAAGCUAAUGAAACUGCAAUAGUAAAUGUUGAGGAUAGAAUCAAAUUUAUUGGUACAGCAACAUUUGGACUCAUAUUAUUUCUCAAUGUGACCAUGAAGAUAACAAGUAUGCAUAUUAUUGCUCCAAAAUUACAAAGUUCAUGCUUUCCUUUAGUGAAAAUAACAACAGCGUUCAGUACAAUGAAGAAAAUCCAUCCUACAAUUCCAACAACUCCUCCGAAAGUGUCAUAUAUUACAGGCAAGACUGGAUAUUCUUCAUUUACAUUCUGAGUGGUCUCUUCUUGAAGUUUGUUCUCUAUUUCUUGAAGUGUUUGUAAAAGUUCCAGCAUUUCUGUUUCUAAUUCUUGUCUCAAUACUGAGUGAAAUCUGUGAUCAUUGAGCCAAACUAACUUCUCUAUUUCUGUUAUAAGAGUUGUUCUUUGAGCAGGUUUUGGUUCAGAGUCUCUUAUGAUGUGAAAUCUUCCUCCACAUGCGUUGAUCAUUUCUCCAGCAAUCCCUCUGGAGGCUCCUGUCAAAGGUUCCUGGUGAUUUUGGAGCAGAAGAACAAUGCAGUACUGCAGGACUUCUGCUCCCAGCAGCUCCUGGGCUCGUUUCUCAAUAUCACACUGUUGUGAUUGUUGAUCUUCCAGAUUCAGGACCAUUAGAACGGCGUGAGGUCCAGGAGACGAGAGAAACAGCGCUGUUGUGAAGAAGAUCUACAGCACUGAAUCUGGACUGACCUCUGACUCCCACAACCAGGAUCCUCAGAGCCUUAUCACCAGAAGCUGGAAGUGAAAGUGAAACCGUCAUUGUAAGUGGGGUAA